rnacentral:rRNA from 1 species
CAAUAGCGUAUAUUAAAGUUGUUGCGGUUAAAAGCUCGUAGUUGGAUUUCUGCCGAGGACGACCGGUCCGCCCUCUGGGUGAGUAUCUGGCUCGGCCUGGGCAUCUUCUUGGAGAACGUAGCUGCACUUGACUGUGUGGUGCGGUAUCCAGGACUUUUACUUUGAGGAAAUUAGAGUGUUUCAAGCAGGCAUACGCCUUGAAUACAUUAGCAUGGAAUAAUAAGAUAGGACCUCGGUUCUAUUUUGUUGGUUUCUAGAGCUGAGGUAAUGAUUAAUAGGGACAAUUGGGGGCAUUCGUAUUGCGGUGUCAGAGGUGGAAUUCUUGGAUUACUGCACGACGAACUACUGCGAAAGCAUUUGCCAAGGAUGUUUUCAUUGAUCAAGAACGAAAGUAAGGGGAUCGAAGACGAUCAGAUACCAU